rnacentral:tRNA from 1 species
CAAAGCGUAGCUUAACUAAAGCAUCUCGCUUACACCGAGAACAUGUCUGUUAGAACCAGACCGCCUUGA